UACGUAGGGUGCAAGCGUUAAUCGGAAUUACUGGGCGUAAAGAGCGCGCAGGCGGCUUGGCAAGUCGGGUGUGAAAUCCCGGGGCUCAACCCCGGGACUGCAUUCGAUACUGUCAGGCUUGAGGCCGGGAGAGGGUAGUGGAAUUCCCAGUGUAGCGGUGAAAUGCGUAGAUAUUGGGAGGAACACCAGUGGCGAAGGCGGCUACCUGGACCGGUUCUGACGCUGAUGCGCGAAAGCGUGGGUAGCAAACAGG
rnacentral:rRNA from 1 species